CCUUCGAACGGCGAUGCUUCGCAGACUGAGCAUCAAGUGCUACUCGAAAUGUCGAGUGCAGUGAACAUAAGAAUAAUUGAUGGACACUAAGCUCAAUCCAGACCCAGGAGAUCGCCCUGGCCCUCUGAAGGAUAUGAAUUACGACUCCCAGCCAAGCAGAAGACCAAGAGAGAGCAGUGAUAGUGAGCAAGACCUAAAUCCCAGGCGUCCAGGAAGAGGCAGCGGUCGACAGGGAAUUCUGGUGGAGCAGAAUACACACCAGCUAAAAAGUACUACAUACUACGACAUAUGAAGAUCUUCCUACAAAGUUCAAAACAAAUAGAUAUAAUACAAAAUCUCCAACAACAAAAGACCUAAGAAACAUAGAUCCAGGAAAUAUAGACUUCAGAAACCUAAAACCCUUUAAAAGAAGAAGUCUUUUUUCCUGAAAAUUGGCAGCAGAAACUCCUUGUGUUGCAGCACUUGAGGACUAUAAACCAUCACAGACUAAACAGUCCACAAGAGCUUUUGCUUAAUAUGGGAUGUUAAACCUUCAUGAACUCAGUUCUUGAACUAGAUCCAAGCAAUGUGCCUGGUCCAAGCAAUGUAAUGAAUUACAAACAGAACAGCAUCAGAUAAAGAGACAGCAACAGUGAAGAUUACCCAUACUCCAGACAAGCAGGAAACGAAGAAACUGGCAGACAGUCCAUGGAACCCCAAAUAUUCACAUCAGACACAAUGUACCCUGCAAGAGAAAGUAGUACAUUUACAUUUAUCAGUCACUCCCUUCAAGCUUCCAUAAACAACUAGAAAUAAUUGAAGCACUGAAUUAAUCAAGCUAAUAGAAAUACAUAAUGCAGAAUUCCCCGAGAAUCUAUUGGGAUGGAAAGGCAUGAAGGUAAGGAGUGACUGAUUUAAAGAGGAUAAGACCUUUGAAUUAGAUAAAAUCUUGUCAGCUGGGAAGUGCAGUGAUAUAGAACUACCUUAUUGAAAUCAAGUGGAAAUUGUAUUGGACUCCCAGUAAAUUUAGGACAAGAUGAAAGUUAUCAGAAAACCAGAUUCCCACAUCAAAGAAAUAAGUUGAAUUGAAAACAAAAUUUGUAAAAAAAAAUAAUAAUAA